CAACGCUCUUCCGCCCGACUGUUCAGCUUACAACAUGGAUUUAUUACAUGUUCACGUAUAAUUGUCAUGUACUAUUUAUGCAGUUUUAUUCAACGAGGUUACACAAUGUUACUUCAGUAUUUUAGAUUUAUCAGGUGAACACGAAUCAGUGAGUAUUUCGCGUUGCAUGGUUCACUAUUCAGUUAUAUGAGACAAUUG